GUGAAGAAACGGCAGCAGGCAGACUUGGCUAAUAAAGACAGGACCAUACAGCAACUGAAAACGGAACAGUCUGCUGACGAGAACCUCAAGCUCUGUCCGAACGUCUGUAAAGCUGUGUACUGAGAAACAUCAAGCUGACAGGAGGAAGUGGCUUGAAGAGAAGACUGUUCUGAUCCGGCUGGCCGAGGAUAAGAGGAACCAGGAGAUGAGGAAGUUUGCAGACGGCCGCAAGCGUCACGCCAAACAGCAAACACAAGUGGAAGGUCUGGUGGCCCAGCUCACUGAGAAGGAGCAGGACCUAGUGAAGUGGAGGAAAGAGAGAGAGGGACUCCCUGGUGACAGCUCUGGAGGUCCAGCUAACCAAACUCCUCUCCAGCAUCGCAGACAAGGAUGA
rnacentral:lncRNA from 1 species